rnacentral:rRNA from 1 species
UACGGAGGGUGCAAGCGUUAUCCGGAUUUACUGGGUUUAAAGGGUGUGUAGGCGGGCUUUUAAGUCAGUGGUGAAAUCUCCGGGCUCAACCUGGAAACUGCCAUUGAUACUAUUAGUCUUGAAUUUUGUUGAGGUAGGCGGAAUAAGUCAUGUAGCGGUGAAAUGCAUAGAUAUGACUUAGAACACCAAAUUUGCGAAGGCAGCUUGCUAAACAAAUAUUGACGCUGAGGCACGAAAGCGUGGGGAUCAAACAGGA